AUUGAACGCUGGCGGCGUGCUUAACACAUGCAAGUCGAUCGGUAACGCGGGGGCAACCCUGGCGACGAGAGGCGGACGGGUGAAGAACGCUUGGGAAUCUGCCUAUCAGCGGGGGACAACACGGGGAAACUCGUGCUAAUACCGCAUACGCUCUACGGAGGACAGCCGGGGACAGCAAGGCCUGGCCCUGAUAGAUGAGCCCAAGCCGGAUUAGCUAGUUGGCGGGGUAACGGCCCACCAAGGCGACGAUCCGUAGCUGGUCUGAGAGGACGAUCAGCCACACUGGAACUGAGACACGGUCCAGACUCCUACGGGAGGCAGCAGUGGGGAAUAUUGGACAAUGGGGGAAACCCUGAUCCAGCGACGCCGCGUGGGUGAAGAAGGCCUGCGGGUUGUAAAGCCCUUUCGGUAGGGACGAAAGCUCUCGACCUAACACGUCGGGAGGUUGACUUAACCUACAAAAGAAGCACCGGCUAACUCUGUGCCAGCCGCCGCGGUAAGAC
rnacentral:rRNA from 1 species